CCAGAUCACGGAAACAGGAAGUCCAACUUCAUCUUCAUCGAUCUUUUUUCUCCUUCUUCAUCGCACCUUUGACUCCAUCUCUGGCAGAGUUCAUCCUAAAUCGAAGAUAUCUUGUUCGAUAUUCAUCCUACAUUGCACAGGUUAGGCAGUUUUGUGGUUUAUGACUUAUCACACAUAAGCUUGUGCGAUUUGGUAUUCCUCGUUUAUCAAUCUUACCCAGUCAUCCGUAUUCAAGGUCAUUCUCGAUCACAGGUAUUCACAGGUCUCAUUUGAGGAUAAACUACAGGGAAGCAUUGCAGCUAGUCGGAAAUUUCUGUCUAGAAGAAGAACUCGAAGAACAUUGGUUGCAUCAUGACAGCUUGAGAGAUUUUGACUUAAAUCUCUCAUGAGAAUUUAUCCGGGCUCAAGACUUAUUUGUAUGCGUAAUCAUUGUAUCUGGAUUUGAACUUGUAAUUUGUUGAUCAAAUCGUUGCCUUUUCGUGUAAGCUUGAUUUGGGCUUGGAUCAUUAAUUCUGUUUUGAUCUCUGUUUUGGGCU